rnacentral:rRNA from 1 species
GACGAACGCUGGCGGCGUGCUUAACACAUGCAAGUCGAACGAUGAAGCCGGAGCUUGCGCCGGUGGAUUAGUGGCGAACGGGUGAGUAACACGUGAGCAAUCUGCCAUUGACUCUGGAAUAACAGCGGGAAACUGUAGCUAAUACCGGAUACGACACCUUGGGGCAUCCCAGGGGGUGGAAAGGAUUUCGGUCAAGGAUGAGCUCGCGGCCUAUCAGCUAGUUGGUGAGGUAAUGGCUCACCAAGGCGACGACUGGUAGCCGGCCUGAGAGGGUAAGCGGCCACAAUGGAACUGAGACACGGUCCAGACUCCUACGGGAGGCAGCAGUGGGGAAUAUUGCACAAUGGGAGAAAGCCUGAUGCAGCAAAGCCGCGUGAGGGAUGAAGGCCUUCGGGUUGUAAACCUCUUUUAGCAGGGAAGAAGCGAAAGUGACGGUACCUGCAGAAAAAGCACCGGCUAACUACGUGCCAGCCGCCGCCGUAA